UUUGCACACACACAGAGCCACACAUUGCUUGGUUUUUAUUCAUCGCUAUUCACCUGGGGGCUGUAACCUUGAAAAGCACGGGAGUUGAGAGCAUUCUGGGAGAGCCAGUUGAAAGAACUUCCAUACAACAAGUAAAAAAGACGCAUUCUGAUGUUGCGAAGCCUUGCCAGAUAUGCAUUUGCAGUCUUAACUAUAAAACUGUCAUCUCAUUGCGGGAUCGAAUCCAUUCAAUUAUUUAUUGGUAGCUAUGAAACUUCUGCUGCGAAGCAGGCAUUCAGCCAGGAAGGCACAAGACGAUGCGAAUCUCUCGAAGGCAGCUACAGCAGCAGCUGCAAAAGCGGAUCGUAGAACCGAGUUAGGAGCUUUAGCUUUUGCUAGUGCAAAGAUGUCCAACGAAUCUGAACGGGAUGCAGCAAGAGCAACUGCACACAAUGGAGACAGAGGAAGCGACGCCAAUUGACAGACGAUUAGUUGUUAGCAGGUUGUCGGAAAAGUGGGGUAGCUAUAAGAAAUAUAUAAGAAAUAGCUUAGAAAGCAUUUACAUACGUGUUUAAUAAAUCGAAACUUGUUUUUUAACAUUAUACUA